rnacentral:rRNA from 1 species
AUGACGAAGGGGAAGAGCCACGGCGGGUUGGGGUCGUGGCCGCAGGCGCCGGCGCCCGUGAGGCAGCUUUUCUGGAGGGUGAGGCGCGCCGUGCUACGGCCAAAGCGCCGCGCGGCGAGUUUUGGGUACGACCUCAAGAGCUACUCCCAGAACUUCGACGAUGGCCUCAUCCCUGCCCACCGCCUCUAG